rnacentral:rRNA from 1 species
ACGGAGGGUGCAAGCGUUAUCCGGAUUCACUGGGUUUAAAGGGUGCGUAGGUGGGCAGGUAAGUCAGUGGUGAAAUCUCCGGGCUUAACCCGGAAACUGCCAUUGAUACUAUCUGUCUUGAAUACCCUGGAGGUGAGCGGAAUAUGUCAUGUAGCGGUGAAAUGCUUAGAUAUGACAUAGAACACCCAUUGCGGAGGCAGCUCACUACUGGAAUAUUGACACUGAGGCACGAAAGCGUGGGGAUCAAACAGGAUUAGAUACCCUGGUAGUCCACGCCCUAAACGAUGGAUACUCGACAUCAGCGAUACACAGUUGGUGUCUGAGCGAAAGCAUUAAGUAUCCCACCUGGGAAGUACGAUCGCAAGAUUG